UCAAGUUUUCUAUUGACUUUCAGGAGAUCAAGGAAUCUGUGCAAUCGGAUUUCAGACAUCAAGUUUCCCUUCUUGUACAGCCAAUGCUUCAGGCUUUAGAUGCUGCCUUUGCCCAUUAUGAUGCAGAUAUACAGAAGAGAUCUGCCAAAAGUGGGGAGAGACCAAAUGGAUUUGCUUAGGCAAAAUUUUUCUCCAUUUUCAUCCGAUAUUUAAGCUCUUUGUUUUCUGGGGGUUAUAUACACGAAUGUACAUUUAACAAAAUUUUGUUCGAGUGUGUUAUAGCAUAUUCUAUAUCUUGACAGUUCUAAUUGACUGCCUGCGGUAAUUGUACAUCUAGUGGAAUUUUGUGAAGUUACUGUAUUCAAAAUAUCCCUUUUUCUUCCUUCA